rnacentral:rRNA from 1 species
UACAGAGGUCCCAAGCGUUGUUCGGAUUCAUUGGGCGUAAAGGGUGCGUAGGCGGCGCGGUAAGUCGGGUGUGAAAUCUCGGAGCUUAACUCCGAAACUGCAUUCGAUACUGCCGUGCUUGAGGACUGGAGAGGAGACUGGAAUUUACGGUGUAGCAGUGAAAUGCGUAGAUAUCGUAAGGAAGACCAGUGGCGAAGGCGAGUCUCUGGACAGUUACCGACGCUGAGGCACGAAGGCCAGGGGAGCAAACGGG